UGCUGAGCCCUGUGGAUCGCUACAACAAGGCUCAAUUCAACAAGACCACACUGCACUGUGACUUGAGCUGGCCGUGGGAAGCACCAGCCAAAGGAAAUUUCAAGAAUCAAAGCCUUAAUAUCUCAUCUCAUUCUGUCUGAGACACAAGUAUUUAACAAAUAAAGGAGAAACCACUGAUGUUGGGAAAACUGGACAGUCACAUGCAAAAGAAUUAAACAAGAUCACUAUCUCCCAUCGUUCACAAAAACAACUCAAAAGGAAUUAAAGGUCCCAGAAAUGAAUGCUGGCAUCAGGGACCCCUCACCGAAGGAGACUUCGGGUACAGCUGGCUCUUACAACACCUGUAAUACUGAGCAGAGUGGCGACCCUUGGAAACACCAGGAUAGCAGAUGGUGCACCCAAGUUAAAGACACUAUUUUGUGAUUUUUUAUAUCAAACUUAACUGUUUGAUUAAAAUGUAGAAUUUGUUGCCAGGGGUUAAC